rfam:Clostridium tetani E88, complete genome.
UAAAAAGCACUGAAAGGUAAUAGUAAACAAAUCUUUAUUUAAGAGAGUCGAUGGUAGGUGUAAAUCGAUAAUAAAGAUUGUUGAAUCCGACCUAGAGCUGCAUAGGGGUAACAACCUAUGCCGGAUUAAUUCCGUUAUAAUUUUAAAGUCUACUCUUUUAUUUAGAGUAGUAAAUUAAGGUGGUACCACGUGAUUAUUGUAAAUCCCGUCCUUAGC